GAUGAACGCUGGCGGCGUGCCUAAUACAUGCAAGUCGAGCGAACAGACGAGGAGCUUGCUCCUCUGACGUUAGCGGCGGACGGGUGAGUAACACGUGGAUAACCUACCUAUAAGACUGGGAUAACUUCGGGAAACCGGAGCUAAUACCGGAUAAUAUAUUGAACCGCAUGGUUCAAUAGUGAAAGACGGUUUUGCUGUCACUUAUAGAUGGAUCCGCGCCGCAUUAGCUAGUUGGUAAGGUAACGGCUUACCAAGGCGACGAUGCGUAGCCGACCUGAGAGGGUGAUCGGCCACACUGGAACUGAGACACGGUCCAGACUCCUACGGGAGGCAGCAGUAGGGAAUCUUCCGCAAUGGGCGAAAGCAUGACGGAGCAACGCCGCGUGAGUGAUGAAGAUCUUCGGAUCGUAAAACUCUGUUAUAAGGGAAGAACAAAUGUGUAAGUAACUAUGCACGUCUGGACGGUACCUAAUCAGAAAGCCACGGCUAAAUAAGUG
rnacentral:rRNA from 1 species